rnacentral:rRNA from 1 species
GAAGGUGUGCUGUGAGGCAUGCUGGAGGUAUCAGAAGUGCGAAUGCUGACAUAAGUAACGAUAAAGCGGGUGAAAAGCCCGCUCGCCGGAAGACCAAGGGUUCCUGUCCAACGUUAAUCGGGGCAGGGUGAGUCGACCCCUAAGGCGAGGCCGAAAGGCGUAGUCGAUGGGAAACAGGUUAAUAUUCCUGUACUUGGUGUUACUGCGAAGGGGGGACGGAGAAGGCUAUGUCAGCCGGGCGACGGUUGUCCCGGUUUAAGCAUGUAGGCGGAGGUUCCAGGUAAAUCCGGUACCUUUUAACGCUGAGGUGUGAUGACGAGGCACUACGGUGCUGAAGUGAUAAAUGCCCUGCUUCCAGGAAAAGCCUCUAAGCAUCAGGUAACACGAAAUCGUACCCCAAACCGACACAGGUGGUCAGGUAGAGAAUACCAAGGCGCUUGAGAGAACUCGGGUGAAGGAACUAGGCAAAAUGGUGCCGUAACUUCGGGAGAAGGCACGCUGAUGUGUAGGUGAAGCCCCUGCGGGUGGAGCUGAAAUCAGUCGAAGAUACCAGCUGGCUGCAACUGUUUAUUAAAAACACAGCACUGUGCAAACACGAAAGUGGACGUAUACGGUGUGACGCCUGCCCGGUGCCGGAAGGUUAAUUGAUGGGGUUAGCGGCAACGCGAAGCUCUUGAUCGAAGCCCCGGUAAACGGCGGCCGUAACUAUAACGGUCCUAAGGUAGCGAAAUUCCUUGUCGGGUAAGUUCCGACCUGCACGAAUGGCGUAAUGAUGGCCAGGCUGUCUCCACCCGAGACUCAGUGAAAUUGAACUCGCUGUGAAGAUGCAGUGUACCCGCGGCAAGACGGAAAGACCCCGUGAACCUUUACUAUAGCUUGACACUGAACACUGGUCCUUGAUGUGUAGGAUAGGUGGGAGGCUUUGAAGCGUGGACGCCAGUCUGCGUGGAGCCAACCUUGAAAUACCACCCUUUAAUGGCUGGUGUUCUAACGUAGACCCGUUACCCGGGUUGCGGACAGUGUCUGGUGGGUAGUUUGACUGGGGCGGUCUCCUCCCAAAGAGUAACGGAGGAGCACGAAGGUUGGCUAAUCCUGGUCGGACAUCAGGAGGUUAGUGCAAUGGCAUAAGCCAGCUUGACUGCGAGCGUGACGGCGCGAGCAGGUGCGAAAGCAGGUCAUAGUGAUCCGGUGGUUCUGAAUGGAAGGGCCAUCGCUCAACGGAUAAAAGGUACUCCGGGGAUAACAGGCUGAUACCGCCCAAGAGUUCAUAUCGACGGCGGUGUUUGGCACCUCGAUGUCGGCUCAUCACAUCCUGGGGCUGAAGUAGGUCCCAAGGGUAUGGCUGUUCGCCAUUUAAAGUGGUACGCGAGCUGGGUUUAGAACGUCGUGAGACAGUUCGGUCCCUAUCUGCCGUGGGCGCUGGAGAAUUGAGGGGGGCUGCUCCUAGUACGAGAGGACCGGAGUGGACGCAUCACUGGUGUUCGGGUUGUCAUGCCAAUGGCACUGCCCGGUAGCUAAAUGCGGAAGAGAUAAGUGCUGAAAGCAUCUAAGCACGAAACUUGCCCCGAGAUGAGUUCUCCCUGAGACCUUGAGUCUCCUGAAGGAACGUU